GGGGCUAAUACCGAAUAAUCCAUUUUGUCACAUGGMAAAAKGCUGARAGGCGGUUUCGGCUGUCACUACUARAUGGGCCCGCGGUGCAUUAGCUAGUUGGUGGGGUAAUGGCCUACSAAGGSAACGAUGCAUAGCCGACCUGAGAGGGUGAUCGGCCACAUUGGGACKGAGACACGGCCCAAACUCCUACGGGAGGCAGCAGUAGGGAAUCUUCCACAAUGGACGAAAGUCUGAUGGAGCAACGCCGCGUGAGUGAUGAAGGUUUUCGGAUCGUAAAACUCUGUUGUAAGGGAAGAACAAGUACGUUAGUAACUGAACGUACCUUGACGGUACCUUAUUAGAAAGCCACGGCUAACUACGUGCCAGCAGCCGCGGUAAUACGUAGGUGGCAAGCGUUGUCCGGAUUUAUUGGGCGUAAAGCGCGCGCAGGUGGUUUCUUAAGUCUGAUGUGAAAGCCCACGGCUCAACCGUGGAGGGUCAUUGGAAACUGGGAGACUUGAGUGCAGAAGAGGAAAGUGGAAUUCCAAGUGUAGCGGUGAAAUGCGUAGAGAUUUGGAGGAACACCAGUGGCGAAGGCGACUUUCUGGUCUGUAACUGACACUGAGGCGCGAAAGCGUGGGGAGCAAACAGGAUUAGAUACCCUGGUAGUCCACGCCGUAAACGAUGAGUGCUAAGUGUUAGGGGGUUUCCGCCCCUUAGUGCUGCAGCUAACGCAUUAAGCACUCCGCCU
rnacentral:rRNA from 1 species